CGUGUAUCAACUGCAAAGAAAAUUUCUUCAAACCAACUAAAAUUAUCAUAAAUUAGAUUGGAUAUUGUAAAAAAGAACACGUUGUAAAGAUUUUUACUUUAUGUAACUGCGCGCUACAAAAUGGUAUCAGUGACGAUAUCCAUAGUUCUUGUUUCACCGCUAGAUGAUGUUAGUAGUGCGAUUUUCAGUGCGCGCUUCCUGAUAACGUAUCAAAGAUCAUCUCACGAGUUAUAGUAAGUCGAAAAACUCAAUCAUUGCAAGAGAAGUAAGCAAAAUUCAAUUUCAUCAGUUUCGAUGGUGCCCAUGUAAUGAAGCUCUGCUGGCGUCAACGAAGCGCAAAACAUUUAUUUUAAGAAAACAGGCAAUUUUCUUUUGCGUUCGACUGUCCUUCGCCACUAGAUGGUGAUGGUAACGCCAUUUUAAAAAGUUCAGUUACAAAAGGGCGGUAGUUUACUAAUUCAAGUAAUAGAUGUACGAAUUGGAAACUCCAUUUGGCGAUGAAGAGAUCAUCAAUGUUGAAAGAAUAUUUAACAUAUAUCUGUUAAUAUCGGUAAAUAUCAAGAAUAUAUACUACAUAACAUAUUAAAAAAUAGAAGAUGCUUCGCUUGUUGAAGCAACAUAUAUCACGUUCGGUGGAAAAGUAUCGCAGAAAUAUGAACUUGAAAAAGCACAGCUAGAAGACAGCAAGAUGACCUGUCAGCGGCCUCGUUGAGCGACUCCUCUUGCACCUCGUGCAUGUUCGUCGUCCGAUUUACAUACUUGCAUUCCAGACGACGAGAAAGAGGAAUAGCUUUUUUUUUUCGUACCAAUUUAGUAUCCGGUUCACGCGAUAGUACUACAGAAGUGAACAAAUAUUUUCAAAGUUUUUACACUUUACUAUAAGAAUUAAAGUAGAAACACACGACGGAGAAAAUUCAAUCGCGUUUCUCUCGACGAACAGAUUCAGAUUCACAGGCAAGGAUGAAUCUUAUUGCAAGAAAAAUCUUAAUGAGAAAUUAAUGUCGGUUAUGAAUCUGUUUCGUGUAAGCCGACACCACGUGCGAUCUACCAUCUUGCAUAGCGAGAGUUCUCUAAUUUAUUACAUAAGCAAUCUCCUCUGCCUCUUAAUUCUCUAAGACGAUUCAAGGGAAUAACCGAUAGAUGGUUAAAUCGAUGAAACAAAGGGUCAUUUAUCUCUCAAAAUGACGAUGCUGCAAAACUUGUAGCUGUAAUCAUAGUCAAGUAUAUUAACAGGAUAUAUUUUAUAGUGACCGUAGAUACAAUGAGUACAUUGUAAUCGUGUUGACUAUACAUUUUUAUAUAAACAAAGAUUCGCCAGAGAAAAUGAGAAAGAGCUAAGGAGAGUUUAGGAAAGCAGUACAAUGCAACCCGAAUUCAGCAGCCUGAUUCAUUGCUGAAUUUCGCAAACGCGUUCUUUAUUCCUUUUCCUUGACCACGAUAAUGAUAUUGUCACCAAACUAUUUUCGGACAUGAUAGGCUGGAUAGUCGGAUCACGAUUCCGCGAAGUGGUGCAAGCACGUGAUUUUAUGGGAACAUCUCCAAAAGAGCCGGCACUAUUUGAACACGUGACAGAAGGAACGUCCAGGGAAACUCCAUAUUACUCAAAUAAGUGUAUCUUGGCUACCCAAAAGGAAGGCUCCGAGACGUGUUCGUCAUUUUUAUGGCCGGGACAGGCAACAAGCUGUUCCAAUAGAAAUUCGUUGGGCAUUACUAUGGCAGCAAGUUACUAUCUUCUUUAUAGCCUCCUGUGAAAGAUCUCGAGGCACUGGCUGGUUCCUCUUUAACUUCUCUGGAAAAAGAAAUCUUGUUUUCCCUGUUCAGGAAGAAAAAAAAGAAUGAAAUGACCGAAAAUGUGUCAGUAGGUUUCUGUAACCCUGUAUCAUUAAAUUAAAAAAUCAAUGAAAUUGUAAAGAGUCGAAAGAAUUUUAUUGUAGGUAAGGAAUGAUUGAAGCUACGGAGAAGAAGAUCUUAAGUGACAGAAGCGAAUAAUACGAGCUAGCGAAAAGCAUAAUCAUUAUGCGCGGGAUGACGCUUCAAACUGUCUGACAAACCAGAGGAGUUCUCAGAAUUCGCUCGUGGACGAGAAGCAGGGGACUAGGAAAGAGCUUGCCAUUAUCAACAAAAAACAAUUCUUUAUCGUCGUUUCACAUACUGUACUUGAUCUGAUCGUAAUACAUCGUCGUCGGUGGUGUGGUCGUCGUGUGAUGAAUGUUCGAAGAAACUGUAC